AACAGCAGCCAUAUCACCGUGCAACUCACUGGCAACCCACUGAAGCGAAGCAGGUGUGAGUCUGGUUAGUACCUGAAUUGGGAGACCUCCUGGGAAAGCUAAGGCUGCUGCUG
rnacentral:rRNA from 1 species